rnacentral:rRNA from 1 species
GACGAACGCUGGCGGCGUGCUAACACAUGCAAGUCGAACGAAGCACUGUGGAUAGAGACUUCGGUCAAUUGAAACUUUGACUUAGUGGCGGACGGGUGAGUAACGCGUGAGGAACCUGCCUUUCAGUGGGGGACAACAGUUGGAAACGACUGCUAAUACCGCAUAAUGUUUUUGGACCGCAUGGUCUGGAAACCAAAGCUUUAUGUGCUGAAAGAUGGCCUCGCGUCUGAUUAGAUAGUUGGUGGGGUAACGGGCCCACCAAGUCAACGAUCAGUAGCCGGACUGAGAGGUUGAACGGCCACAUUGGGACUGAGAUACGGCCCAGACUCCUACGGGAGGCAGCAGUGGGGAAUAUUGGGCAAUGGGGGAAACCCUGACCCAGCAACGCCGCGUGAAGGAAGAAGGCUUUCGGGUUGUAAACUUCUUUACCAGGGACGAAGGACGUGACGGUACCUGGAGAAAAAGCCACGGCUAACUACGUG